UACGGGGGGGGCAAGCGUUGUUCGGAAUUACUGGGCGUAAAGGGCUCGUAGGCGGCCAACUAAGUCGGACGUGAAAUCCCCAGGCUUAACCUGGGAACUGCAUCCGAUACUGGAUGGCUUGAAUCCGGGAGAGGGAUGCAGAAUUCCAGGUGUAGCGGUGAAAUGCGUAGAUAUCUGGAGGAAUACCGGUGGCGAAGGCGGCAUCCUGGACCGGCAUUGACGCUGAGGAGCGAAAGCUAGGGGAGCAAACGGG
rnacentral:rRNA from 1 species